rnacentral:rRNA from 1 species
GAUGAACGCUGGCGGCGUGCUUAACACAUGCAAGUCGAACGAUGAAGCCCAGCUUGCUGGGUGGAUUAGUGGCGAACGGGUGAGUAACACGUGAGUAACCUGCCCUUAACUCUGGGAUAAGCCUGGGAAACUGGGUCUAAUACCGGAUAGGAGCGUCCACCGCAUGGUGGGUGUUGGAAAGAUUUAUCGGUUUUGGAUGGACUCGCGGCCUAUCAGCUUGUUGGUGAGGUAAUGGCUCACCAAGGCGACGACGGGUAGCCGGCCUGAGAGGGUGACCGGCCACACUGGGACUGAGACACGGCCCAGACUCCUACGGGAGGCAGCAGUGGGGAAUAUUGCACAAUGGGCGAAAGCCUGAUGCAGCGACGCCGCGUGAGGGAUGACGGCCUUCGGGUUGUAAACCUCUUUCAGUAGGGAAGAAGCGAAAGUGACGGUACCUGCAGAAGAAGCACCGGCGAACUACGU